UAAUGCAAUCGUAACAGAUAACGCUGCAAAUAUCAUCAACGCUGUUUCGCAAUUAAACUUAAAUGAAGAAAUGAAAAAAUCUGGCUUAACGUGUGCAGCACAUACUUUGCAGCUGGCUGUCAAUAAGGCUCUAUCAGACGAUCACAUUCAAAGUACAGUAAUGAAAUCGAGUAAAAUUGUUGGUCAUUUUAAGCAUUCAUCUAUAGCAAAUAAUGCUCUGGAGAAUAUGCAACAACAAUUAAAUAAACCCAAAUU